rnacentral:rRNA from 1 species
GAUGAACGCUGGCGGCGUGCUUAACACAUGCAAGUCGAACGGACGAUGAAGAGCUUGCUUUUCAGAGUUAGUGGCGGACGGGUGAGUAACGCGUGGGUAACCUGCCUCAUACAGGGGGAUAGCAGCUGGAAACGGCUGAUAAAACCGCAUAAGCGCACAGCAUCGCAUGAUGCAGUGUGAAAAACUCCGGUGGUAUGAGAUGGACCCGCGUCUGAUUAGCUAGUUGGUGAGGCAACAGCCCACCAAGGCGACCGAUCGGUAGCCGACCUGAGAGGGUGAUCGGCCACGAUUGGAACUGAGAAACGGUCCAGACUCCUACGGGAGGCAGGCAGUGGGGAAUAUGGGCAAUGGGCGAAAGCCUGACCCAGCAACGCCGCGUGA